rnacentral:rRNA from 1 species
CCUACGGGAGGCAGCAGUAAGGAAUAUUCGUCAAUGGACGCAAGUCUGAACCAGCCAUGCCGCGUGCAGGAAGACGGCUCUCUGAGUUUUAAACGGCUUUUGUACGAGGGUAAAUCCCGAUAAGUGAAUCGGGUUGAAAGUAUCGUACGAAUAAAGAUCGGCUAACGCCGUUCCAGCAGCCGCGGUAAUACGGAGGAUUCAAGCGUUAUCCGGAUUUAUUGGGUUUAAAGGGUGCGUAGGCGUGUCGAUAAGUUAGAGGUGAAAUCCCGGGGCUUAACUCCCGGCCCGCCUUUGAUACUGGCGGGCUAGAGUUUAGUUGCGGUAGGCGGAAUGUAUGGUGGAGCGGUGAAAUGCAUAGAGAUCAUACAGAACACCGAUUGCGAAGGCAGCUUACCAAACUACGACUGACGUUGAGGCACGAAAGCGUGGGGAGCAAACAGGAUUAGAUACCCCGGUAGUC